AGUUUGGACCCUGAAGUUCCCACUAAUCCAGCUGAUCCCUGAAAGUCUUGGAGGCGCUCGUGGCUGUGGUGGCUAAGCAGGAGUGUGACCUCAGCAGCCGUAGUCGUGGGAAUGGAAGCUGGGUGUGUCUGGGCUGCUGCCUCCUGCACACCUGCAGGAGAUUCCCUCAUUUGGCAGAGACACUAAAAGCUACAGAAUGUCUUCUCUUCGCCUGAUGAUUCCUGGUGACUGAUCACUUAGAGGUUCCACCUCCAUCUGCCCUCAGAGAAUCUCCUUGCACUAUCUGUCACGAACGCUGACUGCAGUUUCUCGCUCUCUGUCACGGCUUGCCCGCCCGCUCCCCAACACUCCACGCCCACCUGCUAAAUGCUUCCAGCUUCUGGCUCAUAUAACCUGGAUUCCUUCAGCACACUCACCUUCAGGAUCUACAGACUCCUCCAAACAAUCUCCUCUGACAAAGUUAGCUUCAUCCCCCCUGCCAUGCAUURCCAUCCACCUGUAUGACUGGAUCUAACUUCAUCUCACUCUUAAAGUUGCCCUGGAUCCAAUUCAUUUCCCAAUCAAGUUAGGACAAAGUCAGGCUAGAUAUACCAGCAGCUACCUCCAUAAAGUGACUUCUAUGACCUUAGCAUCAGCUUUAGCUAAGAAAAAGCAUGAUGAGAACCACAUGUCUGGAAACCCAGACAGGUUUACUGAGAGUUGACAACCAGAUGUGGACCACUCUGAGGAGUUUUGCUUCUGAUCUGGCAUUUUCCUAGUUAUUGUUGGUAAAACUGACAAACCCAAAACCCACAAAUUACACACCACAGAAGUUAUGAACCUAUUAAGUAAAUAAGAGCAUCGGCACUGCCUCCACAGUGCUGUGCUGCACCUCCGCACCACCAUCUGGUAAAUUACCGAGUCUAUUUUUACUGGAUGCCAAAACAAGUGCAGAGCCCAUCUAAAACAAUCACACCGCACUAAUAGGAAAAUGAACAAGCAUUUUUAAAUGAUUUCCAAAAGACAGACGACAUCUUCUCAAAAUCUUAGUUAUAUUAGUAAAUAUGAGCAUAUAUUUAAACAUACAUGCUUUUGAAAUUGGUCAUUGGAGUAGAGUGCAGCCACAKGCAGAGUUUGCAAACUUUAAGUUCUCUCGUUUUUCUCACAUAUAAUUUUGCCUGAAAUUACUGUCAGGUAUUAUAAUUCAUAAUUGGACAAUAAAAAAUWAAUUGAUGUGCUUAGAUGCUAAAAUCAAAAUGCAACAUUUGUUUUUAUUAAUUUUCUUAGUUUUUACAAUGAUAUCACAGUAAUUAGUCAAACCAAUAAUAAUCAUAGCCUUGCUAGUAAAUGUCCACACUUGUUAGCAAGGCUGAAGACCUUGGUCACAUAAUGGACAAAGUAUUUUAAAUAUAAUGGAAAAAGUAUCUUAAAAGACAUUUAAAUGUCUUUUGAAGACAAAUGACAGAGGAAGUUAAGGCACAAAGAUAAGUAUUGAAAAGAGGRAGUAAGACAGGAAGAGGGGAGUUAAGAUGACAGAAAAGAAACAAAUAUUGGAGAGAAGCACCAGCGGAGCAUGAGAUGAGAUGAAGAGUGAAAACUUGGCUGAGAAGUGAGACAGACUSUUUAGAGAGCUAAAGAAAUAACUGAACACGAAGUAAAGCUGUGUGAUAUGGUCAGCAAAUUUACAGACCAAAACAACAUGAUGACUUCCUCACAAAACUCAUCUUAAAGUGACAGACAACUCURGGGAUAAAUCUGUCCUCUUAUUUCCUUGAGCUGUUUAAUAAAGACGUGUUGCUAUGAGUGGGGCCUCCUGUAAGAAAGUGAAGGAUGUCACUUUUCAAAUAAAUAAA